CCGCACCGGUGCACCGGCCUGGCCCGCCGUCCCCUGCCCGCAGGCCUCGGCGCCUGCCCCGCCCUCCCAGUGUGCCUCCCCGCACCGGGGCCUCCGUCGCCGCGUCCCUGGCAGCCUCCCUCGCUCGCGCGACGCCUCUGCCCGCCUGCUCACCCGCGCGUCCCCACCGAGUCCCCACUGGGGCUCUCGGUCUUUCCCUAACACUCUGCUCCUCUCUGGGUGCGGGUCUGGCUCCAGUUUGGGGAGGUCUUGCUGGGAGCAGUCUUACGGAUAGACAGACAUCCCUUGGCCCAGACCCUCCCCGGCUUUCCUCGCUGGAGCGCACUUGCUUUCCCUCUGGGGCUGGAGUGCCCGCCCUCAAAGCGCAGGGUCCUUGCAGCCCAGGUGGGAACUGGCCAGCAGUCUGGCCUUUCCUCAAGGGAUCCACCCUGGCCAUCUGUGGGAGGAGGUGCUAAGUGGUGGACAGUCGGCCAAACAGUGCUUCAAAACCGCCCUGCCGAGUCCAUCGCAUCCGGAUCUUUGCCUUGCUGAACACUUGUAAUAACAGCCCUGCUGUUCUAGAAAAACAAUACCGACCAGCGCUCUGGCUUGGCAGUCUUCGCUCCAGCAGAGCUGAUGAGCGGGAUCCUAGCUGCAGCUCCCGGCUGGAGAAGGACGCAAAGCAGCCCCCUCCUCCCUGGAGCCCCCAGGUCUGGCUUGACAACUGCCACCCAGGUCCAGGAAGGCCUCCCUGGGCGGCUUCAGGCAGGGGAAUCCUGAAAAGGCCUCAGGGAGGUUGGGAGAGGGACAAUCCAGUGACACAGGCCUUUGGUGCUCAGAUCCCCUGCCACCCUGCUAAAGGCUUUUAAAAAGGAAAAGUGAGCUUCAGAGAAUAGGACUGAAUUAUAUAACAAGAUUCCUUUCAGACUGCAUCAGCAUUCAGUUAUAUAACACUAAAAAACCCAACAGUUGAGAGAUCUGGGAAAGAUUCUGACAUAGCAAGGAAGUAAUUUUUUCACUGUUUAUUUUCAAAUGCUUGGGAAGCUUCAGAAGUGAAAAUGAGGGAGAAAACUGCAAGAAUGAAUUUUCCCUCUGAGUAUCUAGUGCCUGCUCACUCCAUCAGGUACUCCCAGGAACUCCUUGGGCACCUACCAGGUAGGGCCUUGCUCAGGGUGCCAGAGAUGAAGACAGGUGCACUCCCCACUGGUCCUAAAGAGGUCUGAAGUCCCAAGGGAGAAAGAUCUCCAGAUAAAAAGAAGGAAUGCAGUGUGGCCAGUGGUCUGUAUGAUGAGUCCACACCAGGGAACAACGACGCCUUCCCAAAGGUCCAGUUGAACCGAAGGUCUGUGGACAUUUUCAGGGUGAGCAAAAGAAAAAUAAAUUUCUGGGAGGAGAUCUGUGCACAAGUGGUGGUGGCCAGCAUGUCGUGUGGGGUGUAAGGUAAAAAGGUCUUCUGCGUGUAUGCCACGCCCCAGGCAUGUCAUGCUAAGGGCAUCCUGUCAGGGGCUUUGAACUUUACCAUGAAAUUUGUAGGUGUCUUUUUUUUUUUUUUUUUUAGAGCUAGGGACCCAACCUAGGGACACUGUAUCACUGAGCUACAUCCCGGCCCUUUUUAUUUUUUCUUUUGAGACAGUCUUGCUAAGUUGCUGAGGCUGUCCUCAAACUUGUGAUUUUCCUGCCUCAGCCCCUGAAUACCUAGGACUACAGGUGCAUGCCACCAUGUCCAGAAAUUUGAAGGGUAAGGGGGUGACAUUUUGUGUUGUAGGAAGAUGCCACCAGUAGUGUGAGGGGGAUGAACUGGAGAGAGGAAGGCAGGAGUGCCACCAGCAAGGGGAACUACUCCAGUCUCCAGGUGACAAAGUCCUGGACCCAAGCAAUAGCAGUGAGAGGCUUGGGAUAGAGUCAGGUGGUGGUGAUGGCACCCAGUGGGUGCCUUAUUGGUAUCCCAUAGACCAUGAAUGUUUCUUGAAUAAAUGAAUGAAUGAAUCCUAGACUCCUCCAUUAUCAGGGCUGUAAGGGAACCCUUGAGCCCAGUUCACCAUUUUCAGGUCCAGAGAAUCCUCGAAACGCAGUGGCUCCAGGUACAGCUGCACACUGGCAGGCUGGGUUCACACCUCUAUGCUCUGUAGAUGGCAUCCUUGGAUUGGUCGUCUCAGCAGCCGCACAGUUGACAAGACUCUGGGUUACUAAAACACCACUGAGCCGGGAGAGAAUUGGGAGAUUGAUGAGAAGGGGUUUGAAACCCCUCAGAGAAGCUGGUCUUUCUUCAGAGCAUUUGAAAGAAUGACCCAGAGAACAGAGAAAAGGCUUGCUUGACUGUGGGCCUAAAUAGCAAUGUUAGUUUUUGCAGGAAGGCGGGAAGAAAGCCUUUAAGUUCCUAAGGUCUGACAUUUAGGAGGGCAGAGGUGUUCUCCAUCAGAAAACAUCAGAACUAAGUGGUAAUUCACCUCUUAAACACCCACUUCUACUAAUUGUAAUCUCUGUUGACUACAAUGUUGUAAAAUCUGAUUAUGUGUAUCCCUCAAUCAUUCUGAAUAUCAUAUGUAUUUUAAUGAACACUUGGGUCUCAGAGGUGUAUUAACUCUUUCCACCUUCAUUCCAUAUUUUAAAUAUAUUUUUAUUCUUAAUUAGUGUAUAGUAAUCAUACAUAUUUAUAGGGUAUGGUGUGAUAUUUCAGUACAUGUGUAGAGUAUAUAAUAGAUCAAGGUAAUCAGCAUAUCUACCACAACAGAUAAAUAUCUCUUAAUUGUGUUGGGGGACAUUUAAAAUCCUUUCUACUAGCUAUUUUGAAGUAUACAGUUAAUUCUUUAGUUUUUAUUCUGCUGUGCUGUAGAACAUUGGAAGUUAUUCCUCCUGAUGUGCACGCCUAUAAUCCCAGAGGCUCUGGAGGCUGAGGCAGGAGGAUGGCAAGUUCAAAGCCAGCCUCAAGAAAAGCGAGGUACUAAGCAACUCAGCGAGACCCUGUCUCUCAAUAAAAUAAAAAAUAGGGCUAGAAUGUGGCUCAGUGAUCAAGUGCCCUGAGUUCAAUCCCCAGUACCCGCUCCCCCCAGAAAAAAGUUAUUCCUCCUAUCUAGCUGCACCCCUGUGCCCACUAACCAUCCUCUCCCCAUCCCUCCUCCAUCCACCAUAAUUGUUAUCCAUUUCUACAAAUGAGAAAGAGGAAACAGAGGCACAGAGCAAUUAUGUAACUUGACAAAAGCCUCCAGUUAUGGAAGAGCAGAGACUAGAACCCAGUCAUUCCCAGACCCAUUUCCUGCCCAGACGGCUGUGGCACCUGGGACUUCUGCUUGGUGUUGACUUUCUGCCCUUCCUUCCGCCGGCCUCUGUAGCUGUGGCUCCUGGCUGUGGUCAGCCACCCCACCACCCACCUUUCUCUGUAUCCUCCAGCUCUCCCUCGCCAGACCCCACCUCUCUGAGCUGCUGCAGUUGGGGAAGGAGAAGCAAUGUCAGGGCCCAAUGGGUUUCAUAGAAGGACAAGCUUCUGAUUUAAGGCCUGGCCAGGUUCCUCCAUGGCCUGGACAGUCGUGGCUGCAGUCACCACCUUCAUGGCAAUUAUCUUAGCUGGGCAGGUGAUCUCUUCUUAUGGCUUACAUCCUAGUUCCUGGUGGCCUUCUGAUAUACUGGGUGCUGGAUAUGAAUGAAAUAUUGUCACGAUGUAUCUAAAACUGGGAAUUUUAACAAAUAAUUUUUAGAAGUAAAUCAAUAAUUUUAAAAACUGAGACUUGGGGUAUACUAAGUGGUAGAAUGCUUGCCUACCAUAAGCACAAGGCCCUGGGUUUGAGCCCCCAGCACUGCAAAAAAUAAAAAAUAAAAAAAACUCUCCAAACAUGGAGAUUUUCAGCCUCAUGAAUUGAGAUAAGUUACCCAUUAUGUUGGGUAGAAGUCUCUGUCCAUUAAACUCUUCUUUAUAGGUGAACCAUACAUUGAUAAUAAGAUACUAGGUCAGAGGAUAUUCUCUCUGUUUGUAAGCCUAGGAAGAGUUAUGAACAGAUUUGAUGUAACACACACACGUAAAGCUCUCCAUUGGGGUCACACUACAAAUCUCCAUGACCAGGAAAUUUAGGAUCUCAUCAGAAGAUACAGGAUUAACAGUCCUUGGCCACAGGAAAACCUGUGACAGUCUGUGCAUCCAGGUUUAUGUUGGGGACAUUUAAAAUUCUUUCUACUAGCUAUUUUGAAGUAUACAGUUUAUUGUUUAGUUUUUAUUCUGCUGUGUUCAUUAAAAUAUAACACAUGAGACAGUUUAACGAAUAGCCAGAACAUCCCUGUUGUCCAGUCUAGUUCCAUAAAUUCUGGUAUUGAUGUGGAUCAGCUAGAGAAAACAUUUCCCUGGGUGUAGCUUUAAGUGUUAGUGCCUGCUCGUUGGAGAGAUGCUCCCCAAAUAAUUUAGCUUUCUUGCAAAUACUGUGUGUACUGAAAGGAGAGAGAAAAAGAAAUGUGUUAGGCUCAUACUUUGUGUUAAGGUCUGUAUUCAGUGUAUAAAAAUUCAUCAUCUCAUUUCCUUUAUCUGUAACAGCCUUUUGAAAUAGAUAUCACUUUCUCCCUUUUACAGAUGAAGCCAUUUUGGCCCAGAGAGAUUAGAAACUCUUCCAAAGUCACGCAGCCAAUAUACAGGGAGUCUGAGUUUAAACCUGUCUGCCAGGCUUCAGUCUGUUAGAUGAAUAUUCUCCACCCAAAAUGUUCAUGUCUUUUCCAUUUUUCUCCAGAUGUUUAAGAGGAAAAGCAGAUCUAACACUUUGAAUGAUUCUACUUAUAACAAUGAUGCUAAUGGCUUCCUGUUGUUUCAGAGUGUAUCGUUUUAAAAAUCCAUCAAUCCCUAGUAUUUUUUAAUUCUGUCACUUUUAUUCCAGCAAGACUUUAUUUAUCAAGAAACUCUUGCUCUCAUCCUAUCCCUCAAAUGUCAGUUUUAGCAGCUUACUCAUUCACGUGUGUAUGCUUUGGGAUCGUACCAUUUCUACUAAAAGUUGUGAAGAUUCAUAAUUGUUCAUUUAGCACA